rnacentral:rRNA from 1 species
UACGGGGGGGGCAAGCGUUGUUCGGAAUUACUGGGCGUAAAGGGCCAGUAGGCGGCCAACUAAGUCGGAUGUGAAAUCCCCAGGCUCAACUUGGGAACUGCAUCCGAUACUGGAUGGCUUGAAUUCGGGAGAGGGAUGCAGAAUUCCAGGUGUAGCGGUGAAAUGCGUAGAUAUCUGGAGGAAUACCGGUGGCGAAGGCGGCAUCCUGGACCGACAUUGACGCUGAUGAGCGAAAGCUAGGGGAGCAAACGGG